rnacentral:piRNA from 1 species
UACCUGUGGCGUGAUGCUUCUGUUAAGCGU